rnacentral:rRNA from 1 species
UACGUAGGGUGCAAGCGUUAAUCGGAAUUACUGGGCGUAAAGCGUGCGCAGGCGGUGAUGUAAGACAGGUGUGAAAUCCCCGGGCUUAACCUGGGAACUGCAUUUGUGACUGCAUCGCUGGAGUGCGGCAGAGGGGGAUGGAAUUCCGCGUGUAGCAGUGAAAUGCGUAGAGAUCGGGAGGAACACCCGUGGCGAAGGCGGCCUGCUGGGCCGAUCCUGACGCUGAGGCGCGAAGGCGUGGGGAGCGAACGGG